AGGGAAUGCCUUUAGUACGGCGAGUGAGCGGCAAGCUCAAAUUUGAAAAUCUGGCGUCUUCGACGUAAGAGAAGUAAUUUGAAGAAGGCGACUUUGUAGCUGGUCCUAGAAAUGUUCCUUGGAACAGGACGUCAUAGAGGGUGAGAAUCCCGUGUGGCGAGGAUCCCAGUUAUUUGUAAAGUGCUUUCGACGAGUCGAGUUGUUUGGGAAUGCAGCUCUAAGUGGGUGGUAAAUUCCAUCUAAAGCUAAAUAUUGGCGAGAGACCGAUAGCGAACAAGUACAGUGAUGGAAAGAUGAAAAGAACUUUGAAAAGAGAGUGAAAAAGUACGUGAAAUUGUUGAAAGGGAAGGGCAUUUGAUCAGACAUGGCGUUUGCUUCGGCUUUCGCUGGGCCAGCAUCAGUUUUAGCGGUUGGAUAAAUCCUCGGGAAUGUGGCUCUGCUUCGGUAGAGUGUUAUAGCCCGUGGGAAUACAGCCAGCUGGGACUGAGGAUUGCGACUUUUGUCAAGGAUGCUGGCGUAAUGGUUAAAUGCCGCCCGUCUUGAACCACGGACCA
rnacentral:rRNA from 1 species